AGAGUCCUGAACUGUUCGUUGUGUUACCUGAAGUUUUGACCGAACAUAAUUGAUUCGGGAGUCUAGCGUUUUCUGCCAUGCGUAAAUGCCCCACCUAUACGGUAUAGGGACUUACAAUCGCGGAAACAGGACACCCACCUGCUAGUAGCGGGAUCAAAACGAAGGAUCAUUAGCAACGGCACCAUUGGGACUCUU
rnacentral:other from 1 species